rnacentral:lncRNA from 1 species
CUUCUUACCAGUAGUUCUAAGGCAACUGCCGGUGUCGUAUCUCAUCAAGCCUCCAAUGUUCCAUAGCUAGGUCAAGAUUCAUAUUUCCCCAAGUGAUUGGUGGAUUAGAGUUUUGGACGAACUUUCCGUUUAAGACUGCAUAUCACACAGACUGCUUUUGAGAUUCUCAAAAUUAUUCUUCUUUCAUAUUCAUCAUCAGAGGUGGAAUAACAAGAGCCUUUUGGCUAUAUGCAUUUUGGCGAAUUUGCUCAUUGACAUGUAUGCUAACUCUGUUAAUCCAUACAUUAGUUUUCAGUUUCCUGUCAAGAUCAUGCUUGAGCUUCUUAUUGAGAAUCGAGAGAGUUUUCACACUCCGUAAUGCUGAAAGGUGAAACCAUAUAUCUUCUAUCUAUUAAAAGCAUCCGAAAUAUUUUGAAUUUCUUUCUCUUUAAUUGAAGGUUACAACUUGUUAGCUGUUGGUGUGGCGUAUGCUGAGAUGGAAGGUCGGCUCGAGCUCACAGUGGUUUACGGUCAAAAUCUUGUUGCAAUAUGAGAGCCCUUCUUGAGACGCGAAUCUCGAGUUGGAGUCAACAUGCUUUCUCGUGCAACAAGGCCCAUGUCGGGUGUAGAGUGAGAGUCUAAGAAAUGGGUGCGCUACUUGCAAGCAUUGAGGGAAAAUGUUUCCUGAAUUGAAAAAUAUUUGGGCAUUCUGAUUCUUACUUGCAAGCAUUGAGGGAAAAUGUUUCCUGAAUUGAAAAAUAUUUGGGCAUUCUGAUUCUUGCUGAUGUGGUAGAUUUAGAUGAGGGUGGCGUUGAAGUGCGACGGUGUUCUAAGAUGCUUGAUAUUACAGUUAUGCCUAGGGGGCACCUGGUGGUGUAUGUUCCAGGGAAGAUUUUGUUUGAAUGUCUUGUUAAAAAGGGGGUGCAUUAGCUACUUGAUCCUUUACUUAGGGAGGUUAUAUUGGGUGCUUUUCAAUGAUGCUUUUAUGAGUGAGAGCAUUUUUCAAUGCUUUCUUGGAUAAGAGUAUAACAUGUUUUUUUUUCAUUUUUUUUUCAAUGCUUUUCUUAAGAAAUAUGCAUUAGGUGUUUUUUUGAUACUUUGCUUGAGAAGGACAUAUCAUGUACUUUUUGAUGCUUUGCUCAAGAAGUAUGCAUCGGACACUUCUUGAUGCUUUGCUUGAGGAUGCAUCGAAAGCUAUUCGAUGCUAUGCUCGAGGAGGAUGCAUCAAAAACUAUUUGAUGCUCUGUUUGAAGAGGAUGCAUUUGGAUGCUUCUUGAUAUUUUGCACGAGGAGGGUGCACUCUGAUACCUCUUAAUACUUUGCUCCAUAAUAUCAUAUUAGGCGUUUUUUGGUACUUUAUUUAAGAAUGGCGUAUCAAAUACUCUUAGUACUUUAUUUGAGAAGGGUGUAUUAGGUGUUUUAUGAAGAUUUGCUUGAGGAGUGCAUAUGUUUCUCGAUGCUUUUUCUAAGGAGGGAGCAUCUGCUGUUUUGCUUGAGGAGUGUUUAUCAAGUGCUUUUCGAUAUUGAGUUACUCGAGGAUGCAUUAAAGUUUUUUUUGAUGCUUUGCCCAAGGAAGGUGCUUUUUGAUGCUUUUAUCAAAAAGGCUCAUCGAACGCUUUAUGAUGCUUUGUGUAAGAAUACUGCAUCGACAUUUUUCUAAGCUUUGCUCAAGGAGGGUGCAUCAUGUGUUUCUGAUACUUAAUGCCCUAGAAGGGUACAUUGGUUGCAUUUUUGAUGUUUUUAUUAUGUUAUAUAUUCCAUGUUGGAGCAAGUCACGUCCUUUAAUAAUAUAAUACGGGUCAAAUCUCUAGCUUGACAGCAUAGAUCAUAUCUUUAUUUUAUCUGUUGGAUUUGAUAAUUAUUGGUGAAUUUUGAAGAGGUGGGAAGUUAUGAAGACAAAGGAAUUCAGGGCGGAAAGCCAAAGGUGAAAUGACGUUCGAAAUUUGGAAGGCUAUUUAAUAUCUGAAAGAUCUCCUCGCCUUAUAUAUAGUUGCCUCACUAUAAGAUGGAUUCACUUGUGCCCUUUAGGUCUUUUGCCUCCCAAUCCUUCGUAUUGAGAAUUUCAAGUUAAAAGCUUUCCCUUUUCUCCUUGGGUCGGGUGUCUUCGGAUCCUCUAGCUUCGAGUGGUUCUUCAUAUACCAAACUUAUUAACUCCUAUUUGACCAAAGGGAUUGGAAAUCUUGACCUCCAGAAGCUCGGGGUUACGAAGUGAGUCUUCAUCUUCCUCUUCGAAGACUGAGAGAGACCUUCAGGUCAUCAAGAUUUCUAUGAACAAGACUCUUGCAUUUCUUAAGAGUUAUUAUAUUUCUUGUCUUAGAUUCUUUGUUCACCUUAAGUGCGAAAAUUUAUACCUUAGUUGAGCAUUUGACCAUAUUUGUCGAUGUCUAAAUAUCUUUGCAUAUAAUAUGAUGAAUUGGAGGUGGGGCUCAACAUCCCCUUACCUUUAAUCUCGAUAUACCUUCAAAGAUGGAGGAUAUUACUUUUUCAAAUGACAUCUAACUUAUCAUGCUAUCUCGUUGCAUUUAUCGGGGAGCUUUACUAUGUCAACAUAAACCCUACAUCAGACCUUUCCCGUUUCUGCUUUAGGAUCAACAAAAGGAUUAAUAAGUACUAUCUUACAAUUCGAGAAGGGUUCAAGGUCAAGAAAACCCCGAGCUUCAAUAAGAGGUGAUAGGGUUUUUUCUUUUUUAUUCAUUUGGGACAAGACUACGACUUCAAUCUUGAGUGAUCAAUUUAUAUAGUCUCAGCUUGACCCUACUCCUAACCUUUAAAAGAAAGGAUAAAUAUUCCGACAAGUAGAAUUUCUAUCAUCUUUUUUAACCAUCAAGGUGAUGGAUGAGGGAUGACAUGUUCAAGCUAGCUUAAGUUUUAUUGUUACUGAACCCUAUGCAACUGCUAAUGCUUUGUUAGCACUCUUCUUGUCCUUUGAGACAAAUAUGAAUCUUACUUAGCCUCGGGCUCUGAAGAGGAAGGGCUACAAGGCAAAGAUCUUAGUUAGGGAGAAGGCCCAAUUUGUGAAAAAGGUUAUUAAGAUAAUGGAGCUACUCUACAAAAAUCCCAUCAAAGCGACUUCGAGUGACUCAUAACCAAGGAAGAGGGUGUCAUGGUAAAACGUAAGGUGUCUCAGUGCCAAGUCCUAUUGAUACCUCAGGGAGUCACUCAUGCCCUGAGUCUAAAACAUAUAAGGCUAAUAUGGUUCAAAAGAAGGCAAGGUGAUAAUUAGUAAAGGAGCUUUGCAUAUAAACGACCUACCCCUUUCAUUGAUCUCCAUGUCGUAGAUCUUCCCAAUGCUAAAAUGAGGGAAAUAAUAUAGUUAAGAUAUAAUCUUUCAAUUAUCAUCGAGCCAUAGAAAGAUGAGAAGACAAUUGCACACUAUCUUCGAGAGGCCUUGGUCUCUCAUAUAGUUAAGAAGGUCUACUCCUUACUCUUAGAUAUCUUAAUUGCUAAGUUAGCUAAGCAUAUUGUUAGGGUGAAUUUCGCCUCUAUCUUAUUCAAUUCAUUUUUCCUAUUAGUUUUUACAAAUCUUACUGAAAGACAUCUUCCUUGCAAGGUAACUUAUAUCUAAUGGGCUUGAUUGACCAAAUCUAUGACUCGGAGGGUCAUCAUCAAUUCUUUGUAUGAGGUAGACUCACUUCAUGAAUUGGUGGUUGAAUUGGAGGCCUAUGCCAACCGCAAGGAGGUUUUCCAUAGAUAUAGAGAAUAUUUUCCUUCAUCUACAGCUCGACACAUAAUUGCCACACAUUGAAAUCAAUUAAGAGCCAAUCGAAUUGAUAAGUCACAAUAAUAAAAUAAAAAAAUAUUAUUCAUUAUGAGGAAUAUUUUCUUAACCAAUGCGACUAAGGAAGGACCAGCUAUAAAAGGAGAUCACAAGCAUGUACUUCAAGGUGAAAUACACUCUCUCUAUUUUAUCUACGUCAGAAUCUAACUUAGGCAUUAGAGGGACCAUGUUUGUAACCUUUCAUAAUAUCAUUUUUCGAAUAGGAGAAAGUGGAAGCUGCUCGAGUUCUGCACCAUAUCAUAAGUUCACGGUAUUUUGAGCAAUAUUAGCUCUUUUGGUAUAAGUUAGUUUUAAAUCAAGUAUGACUGGUCUUAUGGUUUAAAAGGUGAUCAUCAACAUAGUCAAUAUAACUCAACCAAAUAUGGCUCUUGUCAAGGCAUAGAAAAGCACUAAGUAGUUGAGGUGUGACUACGUCGAGCAACAUGACAUACUCAAAGCAACAAAAGUCAUAACCAAGUAAAUCGAGGACCAAGGCUAUACUCAAGCUUUGGAAGCCCAAGUCAUGAGCUAGCGAAGUGUCUAUAAGCCAAAGAGGCAUUUCACUCAAAAAGAAAUAAGGAUGCCAUCUUGACCUAUAAGGAGUCAGUCAAUCUUAAGAAAGGGCAGCUCAGAAUGAGGUUGGUAUCCUACAAGCAUAGAUACAAUCUAUCUAUAAUUUUGAUUUUGGCAAAGUACCCAAACUUUAAAAUGUAGAAGGAUCUUUGGACUUAGCAUCUUAAGGAUGCAUAAGUAAAGAUAAAGAUAAAGAAGGAGUUCAACGACAAUCCAAAGUCUUUGCUUAGGACAUUUCUUAUUUAAAAUAUUUUUCUUAAUUUAAAUGAGAUAUGUAUUUUUGUUUUGAUAGUGAGAAAAAUGUGCUAACAUAUUUUUCUCGACAUGAAACAUAUUAUGAACUAAGUUACAAUUAGGGAUAAAACUUCUUGAAAUUGGAGAUAUACCAAGUGCAUUAAAGUGUUAUCCCACUAUGCUUCCAAAGUGGAUGUGUUCUAGGUUAAUUGUUGAACUAUAUUUCAUUAUUUGUGAUGAUUAUUUGAUUAUUUUUGGGAUUUUAAGUGAUUAUGUUCAUUCAGAUGAAGUUCUUAACUUCUUUCUCUAUGAUGGAGGCUAACAAUUUUGUCUCCACCCACUUAAUGAAAUAAUGGGCCAUAACAAUUAAAAACCUAUACUGACUCAAAGCUAGUGAAAGUGUAUUAAGAAGGUAUAUUCCUCAUUCUGCAAAGAAUCGAACACAAUCAAUAGGUUGAAGGAAUUGUUAAUUAUUGUUUAAUUGAAGCAAACCUUUAUCAUUGAUCAUAUAAUUGUGUACAAGUCAUUUAAUCCUUCUUAGGAGUUAGCCAAUAUCAACCUUUGGUGAAGAACCUUCUAGAAUUUGGUUGCUAAUAUGCUCCCAGCAUAGUUGUUUAAUCAUCUUAGUUAAUAAUACUCUGUGUCUUGCUUGGGAGAAGACAUCUUAGAUAUAGUUGAUUGAUGGAUCUUUAUUAGAGAUGAUCAUUGAUAAUGUGGUAACAUGAUUGGAUGUGUCUGAGUCACUUGGUUCUUGACGCGAACAAGUACAAGAUACUUCUUACAGGCUUUGCCUUGCCAAGAAGCUUCUCAUUGACAAUUUGAUUAUGUAUAAUACUAUCAACUCAUCAGAAACCAAAUGAGAGAUGACUUUGAGCCCUAAAACAUCACGAUGAUGAGGUACUCAAUGGAAAUAAAUGUGAUAAACACUUAUUUUGUGAGGCCAAUGCUCUUGUGAGUUUGAUAUCAUGCUCCAUCGUUGCCAUCGAUGAAAGCCUUGAUUUCUUGCAAAUUUUUUAGGUUAAGGAUGAGCUUGUUGAAUAGACGACAAGCUUAAGCUAAAGAGGCAAUCUUGCCAAUCGACCAAUUCAUCCAUAAAGAGAGUCCCUUUUCGACUUAGGGAAGGAUCCUUGGGAUUUUGAUGUGGUAAGUUUCGAGACAAAAUAUGUUAGUGCCUAAACCUUAAUCAUCAUUCUCGAAGCUAAAUGUCAAAAUCCCAAGCUCGAUUAGCCACAUAAGUAGUUUGCCAAGGCAUUGGGUUAUGAGAGGAUUUACCAAAGUGGCUAUGGAUAGUGUAUGCUUCAAAAUAUGACCUAUGCUUCAAGAGAUAAGGUAACUUUUUCAACAAUUGGAUAUUUCAACUAGACCUUGUUCAAUACAAGGCUAACAUAGUAGAUUAGUUUCUAAGUACCCCCAACCUCUCAAACAAGGAGCAAGUUGACAACAAAGGGGCUCAAGAGCUACUUGAUAAGAGAAGCACUUGUCUCUGAUUUGAGAUCGGAAAAUACUCGAUGUUGUGGUAUGCAAUAUAGACCUCUAUAUUUCAUUCACCAAUAUGAGCAUCUUCAUCUCUUUGAAUGAUUUUUAUCUUCUCGGGAUCACAUCAAUUCCUCUUUGGUAAAUAAUGAACCUGAGAAAUAUCCCCAAAUUGAUACUAAAUAUAUACUUAGUCAGAUUUAAUUAUAUCUUAAAUUUUUUAAGGUAUACAAAAGUUUCAACUAGGCCAACUAGAUAUAAAUCGGUUGCCAUACUCUAUAUAAUAUGUUGUCCACAUAGGCUUUCAUAUUUCAUCUGAUUUGUAACUAAAUAUUAUGUUCAAAAUUAUGUAGUGUGUGGUACAAAUGAUUCUUAAUCCAAAGGGCAUGACUUUCUUGUUCGUGAUGAAUGAUGUGUUCUCUUGGUCUUUAAAAUUCAUUCGAGGAAUGUGUUUUCUUAGUCUUUAAAAAUCAUUCAAGUAAUUAUACGUGAAGAAGGUAUUCAUAAGAUUGAACUAUUUAGCCUAAAUUGGCAUCAGUUAGCCAGCCUAUUCGAGGCAGUGGGUAAUUAUCCUUCAAAUAGAUACUAUUUAAAUCAAUAUCAUUAACACACAUUCUCAAUUUGUUAUUAGGUUUUUUAACCAUUAUAAUGUUUGACACAUCUUUAAUGAUUUUUCUACCUUUUUCUUUGAUAGUCUAUAACCAAUCUAAUACAAAUCUUUAUGGUAUCUAACGUUAGGAGUUCAACCUGAUAUAGAGAUGAUGUUUUCCACUAUCGGGUCAAUUCCUGACAUAUCUUUUGGUAACCAAGAUCUCGACAUUAAUCCUUAGGAAUUUGAUGAGUUUGACCCUUUUGCUCUAUCCAACGGUUGGUUGCACUAAUUUUGUUGAUAGUAGAAUCAGAUCAAGUUUGGGUAAGAGGAACUAUUUUUUAAGUAGCUCAUUUACCUCUAGAUUUAAAGGGUGAAGUUUUGAUUCAUUAUGGGAUCAAACUAUUAGACUGACAUUGUUGCUUUCAAAUGGAGAGAGAGACCGACCUAUGUCAAGUAGCAUCAAGAGUCUUCUUAGGAUGUUUUUUAUUUUCCUAUUCCUAUUUUAGUUGGGAAUUCUAUUAACAUGUGAUUCAAAGAUGUGGUGUCAUUCAAAGAUGUGAAUUCUAAAAUGGAGUCAAGUCAAAUCUAUUCGUUCUCCUACAAGAAAACUUAAGGUAGUAAAUCUCGAUAAUGUAUAAUAGAAACUUUUUGAUUCAACACAUUGUGUUGAUGCACUGAAGGUUUAUGAUUAAAAAGAAUAUCUUGAAUAAAAAAAAUUCGAAAAAUCUAAACAUGUGCUGAUCAAGGAGACAAUGUGAAGAAACCAAGGAAGAAAUAGAUAGUUAUUCAAAGUUCUAAAUCUCAACCUGAUAUCAAUUUCUGCAACUCAUCAAUAUACUGACUUAUACCAUCCGAUAUCAUUGAAUAAACUAUGUAAAAAAUGUUCAAAAAUAAAUGACAUUUCGUACCGAUAUUGAAUUAUAUGUUUCAAUACCGAAUUUAAACUUGAAUUAUACCCACUGCAUGAGGCUGUUGCACGUUAAUAUCCCAUGGAAAUAGAACCAACUUAUCCUGAUUCUACUGGGAAGGGACAAAAAAAAUAUGAUUCUAUACAUCUUUAAAAAUUGAAGAGUUGCAUGCAUUUACAGAAUAAAGUUUGCACAUCCUUAAUGAAUGCCUGUUAAUUAUAAUAUACAAACAACGGUAUUUCAUUUUACAUUUCAUGUAUCUGUAUGCUAUGACUUCGCUGCACUCCCAUUUCCUAAUAUUCUCCCAGACUUUAUGCGAUCUGGAUUGGUUGUGUUGACUCCUUCCGUGACAGUUUCAGGGCUCUCGUAUGGUAAUACUACCACAGGGGCAGCAUGGAUGCCUGCCCACCGUUCCCUUAGAAAGCUCACAAAUUUCAUCACCAUUUCCCUUCGGAAUUGUAGCUCACGAGUGAAAAGAUCAAAGAUAAUGAAAGCAAGAAUAUACUUGAAAGGAAUCACAAGGAGACUGAUUGCGGAACCAAGUAGCACGACGGCAACUUCAAAUGUUACCUGCAAGAAACCCAAAUAGAUCCAUUAAUGUCAAAAUUAAGUUUUUGUAGCAAUCACUAAGCAGAUAUGUGUUAGAAAUAUAUUAAGAAUCUUAUCAAUUUUAAGGUUCAAAAAUGGAAAAUUUGCUUAAGGUAACAUGCAAUUAGUUCAUCAGCUGGGCGUGAAAGGUGGAGUUUUCUACACAUUAGAAACAAAUCAAAUUUGCUGAUCAAAUGCUUGAGAAGUAUCAAGAAAUCUACUCCAUUUUAGGUUUCAAAGAUGAAAUUUUGCUCAAGGUAUUAUGCAGAUGGUAGCUAGUUCAGUUGUAUUUAAGAUGCAUAGGAGUAUUCUAAAGACUCGAAUCACAUAUAAGAUGCUGAAAUCCAUCAGCAGUAUCUGUUAUGAAACAUAGAUUUCUGAUCAUCCACAGGGCAGUCCAUCUAGUGCUGUAACCUAUAAGUUGGAUAUACUCAUGGGAUGUCACUAAAGCAUAAAAUUUAGUCAACAUUGUCUGCAGCAAUUACUUGAUUACAUACUCAGCAAAGUGCACUUGAAAGGGUUUUUGAGGUGAAAAAUUGGUUCCCUCAAAUAACUUAUGGAGCAAGGAACAAACAAACAUUUUAAACUGCAUUAGAAAUUCUAUCAUGUGUUUGAUGACCUAGUGUUAGCAUAUGGAUUAACAAUGAAGAAAUUUAAAUUUAAGAAUACAAAUAUGAUGUGUCCUAAAGAAAAUACCAAAAUUGAUACCAAACACAUCAUAUAUACAACUGCAUUUUUCUUAAUUGACUAUGCUCUUCAUUGAUAUGUUAUAUGAGUGGCAGUUAAAUAGGAAGUUUUCAAUGGUAGAUAAUACACAAAUUACUGAACAAGCUUGAAUUUUGUAGUACUAGAACCCAAUUUAGAAUUAAAUCGAUAAACAUGUCUAGUGCAAGAAGAAUAUUGUAGAGCUUCUUCAAAUCACAUUAGGAAAAAUAAUGAAAGCUGCCUUAGCAUACCUCAGGUUGAACUGAUAGCAUAAUAGUUCUAAUCUUCAAGAGAAUAACAUUUAUGUUCUGAAGAUAAUUCUCCACGUAUGCCAUGGCCUCUUUAAGAGCAAUAAUCUUCUGGAUUGUGUUUGAGGGUGGUUGAUCACGUAUUACAACUCUACCAAAAAAUCUCCCCAAACGACCUUGUUCUUUGAGACCCUUCAGUAAUAGCAUGGUGGUAGCCAUAACUAUUAGUGUUGCUGGGAGUACAUAUGAGAGUAGAUUUCUGAAAGGAAGGACAACAGAAGUGGUCAUUAGAGUAGUUUUUUGAAAGGAAGGGCAACAGACAUGGCCAAGCAAUCAGACAUUGUAAACUUCUUCCCAAACAUAUUAGUGAAUCAUAUAACAGGAAAUAAUUCAAAAUAUACCUUGAAUUGUGCCAGUAAAUGUUGAUAUAAUUUUUAAAAAGAAACAAGUUGAAACAUUUCUUAGAGUGGAAUUACUUACAAUCUUUAUUAACAUUAAUUAAUCAAUGGCAACAAAAAAAAGCCAAAGAAAAAGAAACAAACAAACUGCAUUCUUCUCAACAUAUUGUGUAUGCUACAGUGCAUAAAUCAUGUAUGUGAUUAAAACACGAUAGGAGGGCAAGCUUUGGCAUCAGAUAAGGUCGCUAUUUUACGAUAUGAAUGCUAAUGUUCAAUUCAUAGAAGUAGCUUCCCUGUCUGAGAGGUAAGCUUGGACAUGUUCAACUUCCCUAGAUCCGGCAUUGAUCGGAUCCUGCACUAGACCACCAUUUAGGGAAGGACAGAAAUAUCAGAGUGCAAAAAGAUCAAGAUGCUGACAAAAGCAUUCACAAAGAAAAAAGUAAUAGAAAUUGAAAGCAUAUAGAUGAUUUGCCCAAACUUUUUGCUGUAGGAAUUUACAGGUAGACUAUACUAAAGACAAUUAAAAUGCCUAUGCAUAGGAAGGCAUGUUCAGAGACAGCCUGGGCUUGCACUCAAGCAGAACUUGUUUUUUUGGUGAUCCUAUCAGUAAACAUUCAGCAGCAAAAACAACAUAUAUUUCCAAGCAUUCAGAAUAAAUGAAACUGACAACGCUUACGUGAAAAUGAUGGUAUAGGCAAAAACAAGGAAAGAUAUAGUCACACGUGGCUUCUCCCAACGCCUAAGUUUGUCAAAUUUCUGGGCAACGACUACCAAAGGAAGCAUUAGCUCCUGAGGAUCCAGAAAAAUGGAACAAGUUAUUCAACUAAAAGAAGCAUACAACAUAGGAAAUAAGUGACAUAUUUUAACUUCAACAAAGUUGUUGUAGUCAGCUCAACAAUUUAUUUCCCAUGUUAUUGGAGUAUGAUGAUAACAGAGAAUGGAAGAGAAAACACAACUGAAUGACAAUUGACAGAAGCAACAAAUAAACCAUAAGAGGAAACAUCAGGUAUGUAAUACUUUAUCAACAUGGUUAACCUCAAGUAGGCAUUGGUGAGAAAAAUGGUGGGUGCAGAUACAUGGAAGUGAUACUCUGCAAGAAAAUGUCAUGGAAGUGGGUGUAUCAAUUGGUCACUGAGGUUCUGGACAACUUCUCACAGUAGUGCCCUAGGAUCAUAAGUAGAAGUUUCUGAAAAUUUGAAAUGUAUGAGAGUUACACAAUAUGGUUAACCUCAAGUAUGUAAUACUUUAUCAACAUGGUUAUCAACAUGGUUAACCUCAAGUAGGCAUUGGUGAGAAAAAUGGUGGGUGCAGAUACAUGGAAGUGAUACUCUGCAAGAAAAUGUCAUGGAAGUGGGUGUAUCAAUUGGUCACUGAGGUUCUGGACAACUUCUCACAGUAGUGCCCUAGGAUCAUAAGUAGAAGUUUCUGAAAAAUUGAAAUGUAUGAGAGUUACACAAUAUGCAUCUUUAAUGAACUGGCAAAACUGGCUAGAUUUUAAUAUACUCCAAAGUCAAUAAUACCCUUGUUCUUUAAAUCAAAUUAAAUUAAAUUAGGAGUAUUUAAAUAAUAUCACCAUUAACGAGUACAAUUUCAGCACUAAGUAAAAAGGAGAGGAGGCUACAAAGAAGAGGGAGGUGGUGGCAAAGAAGAAGAGGUAGGUAGGAGGAGGUGCUGGAUGAUGAGAGGAGGUAGUGGCAGCGAUGGAGGAAGAUGAGGAGGCAGCGAUAAAGGAUGAAUAGGAGAGGAGUGCCACCAAUAGGUCAAGGACGGCGAGCAGCAUACGAGAUGCAAGUCCACAGGCAUAGGGUUAAAAAGAAUAGAAAAAGGGCUUACCACCUGGUCCAGGCCUGGACCACCUAGAAUUAGGAUGGUUUGUAUGUCGGUUUAGGUCUGGACCAGUAAAUACUGGCCAGCAUGUACCAGUCCAGAUGAAAUUGCAUUCACUGAUCACCAUUAGUUAACAAAUUGAGUAAUCAGCCUGAACAGUCUCCCAUGGAUGUCUUGUUCUCAUGCACAAGAGGAGGAGAAGAGUAGAAAUAAGAAAAAAAAAAGAGGAGGAAAGGAGAAAGGGAAGGGUAAAAAAGAAGAAGAGGGGUAGGGGUGGUGGUUUGGGGGGGCGGUGGAGGGGGAGGAGAGAGACAGAUAAGGAAGGAGAAGAAAAAGAGCAUGGAGUAUAGGAAGGAAGAAGGGAAAAGAGAUGAGGAGAAAAGAAGAAGAAAGGAGAAAAUUUUAAAAAUUAAAAAAUUAAAAAUAGUUUUUAUAGAUAUAUUUAAUAAGCAAGUGGUCUGACCAAGUAACCCAGUGGUCCAACCAGUAACAGAGU